rnacentral:misc_RNA from 1 species
AACGGUCUAUACCUGCGGUACCUGCGGAGGGAUCAUUACAGAGUUACUACUCCAAACCCAUUGUGAACCUUACCUAUGUUCUGUUGCCUCGGCGGCGCGGUCAGCGCCCCUCUGAAAAGAGGACGAUGCCCUCCCGCCGGCAGCACCAAACUCUUGAAUUUUACAGCGGAUUACAGUUCUGAUUUAAAAACAAAAAAAACAAGUUAAAACUUUCAACAACGGAUCUCUAGAUCGGAAGAG